CUGUGAAAAUUUUUCUGUACUUCCUUCAUUCGAAACCCGAACUCAAAAGUAGGGGGACUGGUGUUGGGUAUAAGAUAACCCCAAUCGAAGUUCGUAAGAGGCUAACCCUCCCAAGAUUCUUUUGGCUUCCGACCUUGUGCGGUGUCUUUCUAAACUCCCCUGGCCGUCUGAGCUUCUACAGUACCAUCCGGACUCCUCC
rnacentral:lncRNA from 1 species